AUGUAUAGGAGGAACCAUGGCUGGCCUCUAAGGAAUGGUGCCGAGGCACUGGAGAUCACUGAGGGGCUGCCUGUCCACUGCGAGGAGUGUGGUACCGGAGUCGGUCCCCUUUCUCUCAUUCUGAUUUUCUUCUCCCCCAAAGGCAAGCGCGUGGAGCGGCAGGAUGAGCACCGAUUCAUCUUCCGCUGCUUCACCCGGAAAUACUCGCUGCCCCCUGGUGUGGACCCCACCCAGGUCUCCUCCUCCCUGUCCCCUGAGGGCACACUGACCUUGGAGGCCCCCAUGCCCAAGCCAGCCACGCAGUCCAACGAGAUCACCAUCCCUGUCACCUUUGAGUCGCGGGCCCAGCUUGGGGGCCCAGAAGCUGCGAAAUUCGACAAGUCUGUAGCCAAGUCUUAGCCCGGAUACCCACCCGUGCCGCUGCCACUGGCCAUGCCCCACCCCCCACCUGUGUGUUCUUUUGAUACGUUUAUCUGUUUUUCUCAAAUAAAGUUUGAAGCAACCCCCCCCCCAAAAAAAACAACUCACAGAACUGAGUAAACAGUGAAAACUACUGUGGCCCAGAUACGGAUCACAAACACUUCUCCCAGUGGCUUCUGGUGGUAGGUCUGCUCUCCGAGCAGCUCACAGCUUCUGCUUCUUCUUGUUAUUUUAAAUCUAAAGGUUCUGGUAACCUGUGGUGUAUCUUUUUUUUAUUUUCCUGUGACUGUUUUUCUUUCCUCCCCUUUGACCCUAUUCAUGUCUCUACCCACUAUGCACAGAUUAAACUUCACCUACAAACUCCUUAAUAUGAUCUGUGGAGAAUGUACGGAGUUUAAACACAUCAAUAAAUACUUUAACUUCCACCGGAAAAAAAAA